UGUCACCAAAGUGCACUUAUCUUUUCGGCCAACUGUCCUGAGAAAACUCCAUAGUUAAGCGUGCUUGGGCUGGAGCAAUUUCAGGAUGGGUGACCUUCCGGAAAGUGAUUGUCAGAACUGUGUGAGUGAGGACAAAACACGGGGAAAGAUCAUGUGGUGAUUUGUAGGGUUGGUAAACAAGUCUUUAAAGCUUCCCAGACGUAGCGAACCGACCGUCGGACACGGGUCGUUACAGCCCAAAUUCUUGAGUUUGAAAACAACCAUUCGUAAUGCCUCGGCUUCAGCCUCUAGCGCCGAAUUAGUUGGACUGAUAGCCGCAGAACCUUUAAGAACACGGUUUGUAUUCUUGUCAUAAAGUGCCCAACCAAUUCUAGCUUGUUGAGAUGGGGAGUGUUGGUGUCGGAUCCCGCACCAGAAGUCCG
rnacentral:lncRNA from 1 species